CGCUGACGGUGUGUGUUUCUCUGUUUCAGGUUUUCUGCUGUUCAAAGAUUUCUGUUUGACUGAAAUCGACGAGGCCGUGCCACAGCUCAAGUUCUACGAAGAGAUUAAGGACUACGAGAAGUUGGACUCUGAAGAGGAGAGGUUGUGCCGUAGCAGACAGAUCUACGACGGCUACAUCAUGAAGGAACUCCUCUCCUGCUCACAUGCCUUCUCUAAGAAAGCAGUGGAUCACGUUCAGACUCACCUGGCCAAGAAACAGGUGCCUCCCUCUCUCUUCCAGGUGAGUAACACGCGCUCACGCGCUGACUCCCGUUUGUGUGUCUGCGCAGCCCCACACCCCGGGGGGGGGGGGGGCGUGAACUCUGUUGCUCUUCACGGCAAUAUUCGCCGUUUCGGUUACCCAAAAAAUCCACGCGAAUCGUGUGGAUGCGAAGCAGAAGCAGCAGCAGCAACAACAACAACAACAAACAGGUUAUGAUGGGAGGGUCUGUUUCUCAUGUGGAAAUCAUUGGCUGAGCACAGAAUGCAUCCCUACUCUCCCUCCAAAAAGAAUCCGAAACGGACUUCAGAGCGUGAAGUUGGUCGUAUUUACCUGAAAGUCUACUAAAGUGCCUAUUUACAUAGUUCUGUUCACGUGCCAGGUGAACACGGUUUACGUUUGAAGGGCCUGCCUGCCAAGAGACGUUGGAGAUUCUCCACCGUUGCCGCGGCAAUCUCCCGCUCUUAAAGGGACAGCGGAAACAUUUUGCGUCUCGCCUAUGCGACUCCUCUUUGAGCGUGCGUGAUUGACUCCAAAAACCAUUUAUUCAAUUCACAUUGUAGCCUUAUUUCUUACUGUUGAAACGCUCCUCCUCCACGUACUUUUCGUGGCGCUCGUGUACUCCGUUGUUUCAGUUAAAUGAGUUCCCAUAUUCCUCUCUGAAAAUAAAUAAAUGUUCUUGCCUCACAUGGAUUUUUCUUGUGUUUCCGCGCGAAAAUGACUUUUUUAGGGGUGGGGGGGCUUACCAGUUUGCAUCCCUGCUAGAUACUGGGCGUCACACUCACACUCUCUC